rnacentral:misc_RNA from 1 species
UGGAGGAUGCGCCGCUGCUGG